GAGCAUGUGGUUUAAUUCGACGCAACGCGAAGAACCUUACCUGGGCUCGAAAUGUAGUGGACCGGGGUAGAAAUAUCCUUUCCCCGCAAGGGGCCGCUAUAUAGGUGCUGCAUGGCUGUCGUCAGCUCGUGUCGUGAGAUGUUGGGUUAAGUCCCGCAACGAGCGCAACCCUUAUCUCCAGUUGCUAUCAUUCAGUUGGGCACUCUGGCGAAACCGCCUCGGAUAACGGGGAGGAAGGUGGGGAUGACGUCAAGUCCUCAUGGCCUUUAUGUCCAGGGCUGCACACUUGCUACAAUGGCCGAUACAGAGGGCUGCUAUCCCGCGAGGGUGAGCGAAUCCCAAAAAGUCGGUCUCAGUUCGGAUCGGAGUCUGCAACUCGACUCCGUGAAGUCGGAGUCGCUAGUAAUCCCGGAUCAGCAACGCCGGGGUGAAUACGUUCCCGGGCCUUGUACACACCGCCCGUCACACCACGAAAGUCGGUAACACCCGAAGCCAGUGGCCCAACCGUAAGGAGGGAGCUGUCGAAGGUGGGAUCGGUGAUUGGGGUGAAGUCGUAACAAGGUAACCGUA
rnacentral:rRNA from 1 species